CAGAUUUGUAUUCAGCUGCAUCUCCCGAGUACAGCAAUACUGAUGAAGUCAAGUUUAUGGAGAAAUAAAUUGCGGAAAAAGGUCUGUAUUAAACAAAUCGAGAACACAGUGAGGAGUUGAGACAGAAUGCCUAAAAGUACAAUGCUGUGACUACCUUUACAUGUUGGGAACUGGAAACUAACGGAACUCUUAUAUGCUUAUAUUUGGAUUUUUA